GAACCUGGCGGAAGGGACAUUACUGAAGUGUGGGUCCCUCGGGGCCCAACCUCCCACCCGUGUAUACCGUACCUUGUUGCUUCGGCGGGCCCGCCGCGCAAGCGGCCGCCGGGGGGGCGUCAAACCCCCCUCCCUAGGCGAGCGCCCGCCGGAGACACCAACGUGAACACUGUCUGAAGUUUUGUUGUCUGAGUUCGAUUGUAUCGCAAUCAGUUAAAACUUUCAACAAUGGAUCUCUUGGUUCCGGCAUCGAUGAAGAACGCAGCGAAAUGCGAUAAUUAAUGUGAAUUGCAGAAUUCAGUGAAUCAUCGAGUCUUUGAACGCACAUUGCACCCCCUGGUAUUCCGGGGGGUAUGCCUGUCCGAGCGUCAUUGCUGCCCUCAAGCACGGCUUGUGUGUUGGGUCGUCGUCCCCCCCGGGGACGGGCCCGAAAGGCAGCGGCGGCACCGCGUCCGGUCCUCGAGCGUAUGGGGCUUUGUCACCCGCUCUUGUAGGCCCGGCCGGCGCUGGCCGACGCUGAAAAGCAACCAACUAUUUCUCCAGGUUGACCUCGGAUCAGGUAGGGAUACCCGCUGAACUUAACAUU
rnacentral:rRNA from 1 species